CACGGCCACGGGGCUGCUGGGCUUCCCUUUGUCAUCCUUUGCCUCGGGCUCGGAGCGGGGCAGGGACGGCAAAGGGGUGCUCAGCUGUCACCUCUCCCGGCGCAGAG
ensembl:miRNA